UCCCCUAGUAACUGCGAGUGAAGCGGGAAGAGCUCAAAUUUGUAAUCUGGCGGUCUCUGGCCGUCCGAAUUGUAAUCUGUAGAGGCGUCGUCCGCGUCGGCCCGUGUACAAGUCUCCUGGGAUGGAGCGUCAUAGAGGGUGAGAAUCCCGUCCAUGACACGGAUCAUCGAUGCUUUGUGAGGCGCCCUCGAAGAGUCGCGUUGUUUGGGAAUGCAGCGCAAAAUGGGUGGUAAAUUCCAUCUAAGGCUAAAUAUUGGCGAGAGACCGAUAGCGAACAAGUACCGUGAGGGAAAGAUGAAAAGCACUUUGAAAAGAGAGUUAAACAGUACGUGAAAUUGUUGAAAGGGAAACGCUUGAAGUCAGUCGCGUCCCGUGGCACUCAGCCUUGCUUUGGCUUGGUGUAUUUGCCUUGGGAUGGGUCAACAUCAAUUUUGGCCGGUGGAUAAGGGUGAGGGGAAUGUAGCGUUGUUUCGGCAACGUGUUAUAGCCUCUUGUCAAAUACGUCGGCUGGGAUUGAGGACUGCAGCACGCCCUUGUGGCCGGGGGUUCGCCCCCAUGUCACGUGCUUAGGAUGUUGGCAUAAUGGCUUUAAGCGACCCGUCUUGAAACACGGACCAAGGAGUCUAACAUGCUUGCGAGUGUUCGGGUGGAAAACCCUUGCGCGUAAUGAAAGUGAAAGUUGGGAGCCUCCGUGAGGGGGUGCACUGACGCCCGGCCCUGAUGUUCUCUGACGGUGCUGCGGUAGAGCAAGUAUGUUGGGACCCGAAAGAUGGUGAACUAUGCCUGAAUAGGGCGAAGCCAGAGGAAACUCUGGUGGAGGCUCGUAGCGAUUCUGACGUGCAAAUCGAUCGUCGAAUUUGGG
rnacentral:rRNA from 1 species